rnacentral:rRNA from 1 species
GAUGAACGCUGGCGGCGUGCCUAAUACAUGCAAGUCGAGCGAACAGACGAGGAGCUUGCUCCUCUGACGUUAGCGGCGGACGGGUGAGUAACACGUGGAUAACCUACCUAUAAGACUGGGAUAACUUCGGGAAACCGGAGCUAAUACCGGAUAAUAUAUUGAACCGCAUGGUUCAAUAGUGAAAGACGGUUUUGCUGUCACUUAUAGAUGGAUCCGCGCCGCAUUAGCUAGUUGGUAAGGUAACGGCUUACCAAGGCAACGAUGCGUAGCCGACCUGAGAGGGUGAUCGGCCACACUGGAACUGAGACACGGUCCAGACUCCUACGGGAGGCAGCAGUAGGGAAUCUUCCGCGAUGGGCGAAAGCGUGACGGAGCAAAGCCGCGUGAGUGAUGAAGGUCUUCGGAUCGUAAAACUCUGUUAUUAGGGAAGAACAAAUGUGUAAGUAACUAUGCACGUAUUGACGGUACCUAAUCAGAAAGCCACGGCUAACUACGUG